CAGAGGGUGCAAGCGUUAAUCGGAAUUACUGGGCGUAAAGCGAGCGUAGUCGGUUAUUUAAGUCGGAUGUGAAAUCCCCGGGCUCAACCUGGGAAUUGCAUUCGAAACUGGAUAGCUAGAGUUCGGCAGAGGGAAGCGGAAUUUCUGGUGUAGCGGUGAAAUGCGUAGAUAUCAGAAGGAACAUCAGUGGCGAAAGCGGCUUCCUGGACCAGAACUGACGAUCAGGCUCGAAAGCGUGGGGAGCAAACAGGAUUAGAUACCCUGGUAGUCCACGCCAUAAACGAUGACAACUAGACGUUGGGGGACAUAUGGUCCACAGUGUCGCAGCUAACGCGUUAAGUUGUCCGCCUGGGGAGUACGGCCGCAAGGUUG
rnacentral:rRNA from 1 species